rnacentral:rRNA from 1 species
AUAAAGUUUUCUUUAUUGGGGUUGCGGACAUAUCAUAACGAAGAGGUAUCGUAAUUGAAGAGGUUUGGAAAGACCCACCACAGAAGGUAAUAGUCCUGUAUGUUAAACGAGAAGACUUCAGAUAUGAUCCAGAGUACCACGGGACACGUGAAACCCUGUGGGAAGCAGGAGGGACCACCCUCCAAGGCUAAAUACUACCUAGUGACCGAUAGCGUAUAGUACCG